rnacentral:rRNA from 1 species
AACGAACGCUGGCGGCAGGCCUAACACAUGCAAGUCGAGCGAAGCCUUCGGGCUUAGCGGCGGACGGGUGAGUAACGCGUGGGAACGUGCCCUUUGGUACGGAAUAGCCCCGGGAAACUGGGAGUAAUACCAUAUGUGGUCGAGAGACGAAAGAUUUAUCGCCAAAGGAUCGGCCCGCGUUGGAUUAGGUAGUUGGUGGGGGAAUGGCCUACCAAGCCGACGAUCCAUAGCUGGUUUGAGAGGAUGAUCAGCCACACUGGGACUGAGACACGGCCCAGACUCCUACGGGAGGCAGCAGUGGGGAAUUGUAGACAAUGGGGGAAACCCUGAUCUAGCCAUGCCGCGUGACCGAUGAAGGCCUUAGGGUUGUAAAGAUCUUUCAGUGGGGAAGAUAAUGACUGUACCCACAGAAGAAGCCCCGGCUAACUCCGUGCCAGCCGCCGCGGUAAAAC